rnacentral:rRNA from 1 species
CCUACGGGAGGCAGCAGUAGGGAAUCUUCCACAAUGGGCGAAAGCCUGAUGGAGCAACGCCGCGUGGGUGAAGAAGGUCUUCGGAUCGUAAAACCCUGUUGUUAGAGAAGAAAGUGCGUGAGAGUAACUGUUCACGUUUCGACGGUAUCUAACCAGAAAGCCACGGCUAACUACGUGCCAGCAGCCGCGGUAAUACGUAGGUGGCAAGCGUUAUCCGGAUUUAUUGGGCGUAAAGGGAACGCAGGCGGUCUUUUAAGUCUGAUGGGAAAGCCUUCGGCUUAACCGGAGUAGUGCAUUGGAAACUGGGAGACUUGAGUGCAGAAGAGGAGAGUGGAACUCCAUGUGUAGCGGUGAAAUGUGUAGAUAUAUGGAAGAACACCAGUGGCGAAAGCGGCUCUCUGGUCUGUAACUGACGCUGAGGUUCGAAAGCGUGGGUAGCAAACAGGAUUAGAUACCCCAGUAGUCC